UACGUAGGGUGCGAGCGUUGUCCGGAAUUAUUGGGCGUAAAGAGCUUGUAGGCGGUCUGUCGCGUCUGCUGUGAAAAUCCGGGGCUCAACCCCGGACUUGCAGUGGGUACGGGCAGACUAGAGUGUGGUAGGGGAGACUGGAAUUCCUGGUGUAGCGGUGAAAUGCGCAGAUAUCAGGAGGAACACCGAUGGCGAAGGCAGGUCUCUGGGCCAUUACUGACGCUGAGGAGCGAAAGCGUGGGGAGCGAACAGG
rnacentral:rRNA from 1 species